rnacentral:rRNA from 1 species
GAAUUUUGGGCAAUGGCCGCAAGGCUGACCCAGCGACGCCGCGUGCGGGAGGAAGCCCCUCGGGGUGUAAACCGCUGUCAGGGGGGACGAGACCGGUGGAGUCGAACAGGCUUCGCCAUUGACGGUACCCCCAGAGGAAACGCCGGCUACCUCCGUGCCCGCAGCCGCGGUAAGACGGGGGGCGCAAGCGUUGUUCGGAAUCACUGGGCGUAAAGCGCGCGCGGGCGGACAUGCAAGUCGGGAGUGAAAGACCGGGGCUCAACCCCGGACCCGCUUUCGAGACUGCAUGUCUAGGGACCGGUAGGGGCAGGUGGAAUUCCCGGUGUAGCGGUGGAAUGCGUAGAUAUCGGGAAGAACACCGGUGGCGAAGGCGGCCUGCUGGGCCGGGUCCGACGCUGAGGCGCGAAAGCGUGGGGAGCAAACAGG